rnacentral:rRNA from 1 species
CCUACGGGGGGCAGCAGUGGGGAAUAUUACACAAUGGGGGAAACCCUGAUGCAGCAACGCCGCGUGAGCGAUGAAGGCCUUCGGGUCGUAAAGCUCUGUCCUAAGGGAAGAAUACUGACGGUACCUUAGGAGGAAGCCCCGGCUAACUACGUGCCAGCAGCCGCGGUAAUACGUAGGGGGCUAGCGUUAGCCGGAAUUACUGGGCGCAAAGGGUGGGUAGGCGGCCCUUCAAGUCAGAGGUAAAAGGCUACGGCUCAACCGUAGUAAGCCUUUGAAACUGUAGGGCUUGAGUGCAGGAGAGGAGGGUGGAAUGCCCAGUGUAGCGGUGAAAUGCGUAGAUAUUGGGAGGAACACCAGUUGCGAAGGCGGAUGUCUGGACUGUACCGGACGGUGAGGCACGAAAGCGUGGGGAGCGAACAGGAUUAGGUACCCCAGUAGUC